AUUUAACCAUCUUGUGCAUUUACGGAGAAGACCAAAAGCUGCAAAGGCAAACAUUUCCAAUGGAUUUCUCACAGAUUACUUAGUCCUUCUCCAUCAGCUCUUCACAAUAUCAAACCCAAUGGCCGGAACCAGCCCUUCCAAAAUCUGCUCUCGACCCUUUACUGCCAACUUCCAGUCUUAGCAUGUCUACUUGUAUUAAUUUCUCCUCUAGUCAACACUCCCAUCUUUACUGUGAACACUCCCGUCACUAUCACCAUCCCACCUAGUGUAUUCUACAUGACAAAUAAUUAAAAAUGUGGCACAAACUGGAGAGAGAGAACGCUGUUAUGGGCACUAUGUUUGUCUCUGAAAAGUUUGACAUGUCAAUAAACACUGAUAUGGAA